GAUGAAGAACGCAGUGAAAUGCGAUAAGUAAUGUGAAUUGCAGAAUUCAGUGAAUCAUCGAAUCUUUGAACGCACAUUGCGCCCGCCAGUAUUCUGGCGGGCAUGCCUGUCCGAGCGUCAUUUCAACCCUCGGGCCCCCCUCUGCGGGCGGCCCGGCGUUGGGGCUCAGGCGCCGUCUCUGCUCGGCGCCUGUCCCCUAAAUGCAGUGGCGGCCUCGCCGCUGCCUCCUCCGCGUAGUAGCACAAACCUCGCGGCUGGAAGGCGGCGCGGCCACGCCGUAAAACCCCCCAACUUUACCAAGGUUGACCUCGGAUCAGGUAGGAAUACCCGCUGAACUUAAGCAUAUCAAUAAGCGGAGGA
rnacentral:misc_RNA from 1 species